rnacentral:tRNA from 1 species
GCUGGGGCUCAGUGGUAGAGCACUUGUCUUAGCAUGUGUGAGGCACUGGGUUCGAUUCUCAGCACUGCA